rnacentral:rRNA from 1 species
CAAGUUUUUAAGGGCGCACGGUGGAUGCCUUGGCACCAGGAACCGAUGAAGGACGUGGGAGGCCACGAUAGUCCCCGGGGAGUCGUCAACCAGGCUUUGAUCCGGGGGUUUCCGAAUGGGGAAACCCGGCAGUCGUCAUGGGCUGUCACCCUUGCCUGAACACAUAGGGCAAGUGGAGGGAACGCGGGGAAGUGAAACAUCUCAGUACCCGCAGGAAGAGAAAACAACCGUGAUUCCGGGAGUAGUGGCGAGCGAAACCGGAUGAGGCCAAACCGUAUGCGUGUGAGACCCGGCAGGGGUUGCGCAUACGGGGUUGUGGGAUCUCUCUUUCAUGGUCUGCCGGCCAUGAGACGAGUCAGAAACCGUUGAUGUAGGCGAAGGACAUGCGAAAGGUCCGGCGUAGAGGGUAAGACCCCCGUAGUCGAAACAUCAGCGGCUCGUUUGAGAGACACCCAAGUAGCACGGGGCCCGAGAAAUCCCGUGUGAAUCUGGCGGGACCACCCGCUAAGCCUAAAUAUUCCCUGGUGACCGAUAGCGGAUAGUACCGUGAGGGAAUGGUGAAAAGUACCCCGGGAGGGGAGUGAAAUAGUACCUGAAACCGUGUGCCUACAAGCCGUGGGAGCGUCGCGCAGGGACUUGUUCCUUGCGUCGUGACUGCGUGCCUUUUGAAGAAUGAGCCUGCGAGUUUGCGGUGUGUUGCGAGGUUAACCCGAGUGGGGAAGCCGUAGCGAAAGCGAGUCCGAACAGGGCGAUUCAGUAGCGCGCUCAAGACCCGAAGCGGAGUGAUCUAGCCAUGGGCAGGUUGAAGCGGAGGUAAGACUUCGUGGAGGACCGAACCCACCAGGGUUGAAAACCUGGGGGAUGACCUGUGGUUAGGGGUGAAAGGCCAAUCAAACUCCGUGAUAGCUGGUUCUCCCCGAAAUGCAUUUAGGUGCAGCGUCGUGUGUUUCUUGCCGGAGGUAGAGCACUGGAUAGGCGAUGGGCCCUACCGGGUUACUGACCUUAGCCAAACUCCGAAUGCCGGUAAGUGAGAGCGCGGCAGUGAGACUGUGGGGGAUAAGCUCCAUGGUCGAGAGGGAAACAGCCCAGAGCAUCGACUAAGGCCCCUAAGCGUACGCUAAGUGGGAAAGGAUGUGGAGUCGCACAGACAACCAGGAGGUUGGCUUAGAAGCAGCCACCCUUGAAAGAGUGCGUAAUAGCUCACUGGUCUAGUGAUUCCGCGCCGACAAUGUAGCGGGGCUCAAGCGUACCGCCGAAGUCGUGUCAUUGCAGCAGAUAGCCCCAACGGGUGCUGUGAUGGGUAGGGGAGCGUCGUGUGCCGGGUGAAGCAGCCGCGGAAGCGAGUUGUGGACGGUUCACGAGUGAGAAUGCAGGCAUGAGUAGCGAUUCACACGUGAGAAACGUGUGCGCCGAUUGACUAAGGGUUCCUGGGUCAAGCUGAUCUGCCCAGGGUAAGUCGGGACCUAAGGCGAGGCCGACAGGCGUAGUCGAUGGAUAACCGGUUGAUAUUCCGGUACCCGCUGUGAAGCGUCAAACAUCGAGCAUCGUGAUGCUAAGGCCGUGAAGCCGCCCCUGAUCUCUUCGGAGUGAGGGGGAGUGGUGGAGCCGCCGGCCCAAGCGGUUAGUAGGUGAGUGAUGGGGUGACGCAGGAAGGUAGUCCAUCCCGGGCGGUGGUUGUCCCGGGGUAAGGGUGUAGGACGUCAGGUAGGUAAAUCCGCCUGGCACAUAGUCUGAGACCUGAUGCCGAGCCGAUUGUGGUGAAGUGGAUGAUCCUAUGCUGUCGAGAAAAGCCUCUAGCGAGUUUCAUGGCGGCCCGUACCCUAAACCGACUCAGGUGGUCAGGUAGAGAAUACCGAGGCGUUCGGGUGAACUAUGGUUAAGGAACUCGGCAAAAUGCCCCCGUAACUUCGGGAGAAGGGGGGCCACGUCUGGUGAGAGCACUUGCUGCUCGAGCUGGGGGUGGCCGCAGAGACCAGCGAGAAGCGACUGUUUACUAAAAACACAGGUCCGUGCGAAGCCGUAAGGCGAUGUAUACGGACUGACGCCUGCCCGGUGCUGGAACGUUAAGGGGACCGGUUAGCUUGGAUUCGUCCAGGCGAAGCUGAGAACUUAAGCGCCAGUAAACGGCGGUGGUAACUAUAACCAUCCUAAGGUAGCGAAAUUCCUUGUCGGGUAAGUUCCGACCUGCACGAAUGGCGUAACGACUUCUCGACUGUCUCAACCAUAGGCCCGGUGAAAUUGCACUACGAGUAAAGAUGCUCGUUUCGCGCAGCAGGACGGAAAGACCCCGGGACCUUUACUACAGUUUGAUAUUGGUGUUCGGUUCGGCUUGUGUAGGAUAGCUGGGAGACUGUGAACUCUGGACGCCAGUUCAGGGGGAGUCGUCGUUGAAAUACCAGUCUGGUCGUGCUGGAUGUCUAACCUGGGUCCGUGAUCCGGAUCAGGGACAGUGUCUGAUGGGUAGUUUAACUGGGGCGGUUGCCUCCUAAAGAGUAACGGAGGCGCCCAAAGGUUCCCUCAGCCUGGUUGGCAAUCAGGUGUUGAGUGUAAGUGCACAAGGGAGCUUGACUGUGAGACCGACGGGUCGAGCAGGGACGAAAGUCGGGACUAGUGAUCCGGCGGUGGCUUGUGGAAGCGCCGUCGCUCAACGGAUAAAAGGUACCCCGGGGAUAACAGGCUGAUCUUCCCCAAGAGUCCAUAUCGACGGGAUGGUUUGGCACCUCGAUGUCGGCUCGUCGCAUCCUGGGGCUGGAGUCGGUCCCAAGGGUUGGGCUGUUCGCCCAUUAAAGCGGUACGCGAGCUGGGUUUAGAACGUCGUGAGACAGUUCGGUCCCUAUCCGCUGUGCGCGUAGGAGUCUUGAGAAGGGCUGUCCCUAGUACGAGAGGACCGGGACGGACGAACCUCUGGUGUGCCAGUUGUUCUGCCAAGGGCAUGGCUGGUUGGCUACGUUCGGGAGGGAUAACCGCUGAAAGCAUCUAAGCGGGAAGCCUGCUUCGAGAUGAGGACUCCCACCUCCUAGAGAGGGUAAGGCUCCCAGUAGACGACUGGGUUGAUAGGCCGGAUAUGGAAGCACGGUAACGUGUGGAGUUGACCGGUACUAAUAGGCCGAGGGCUUGUCC